UUUAAUUAUCAUAUAUAAAAGUGAAAAUACAAAAUAUAAAUUAAUUUUAGUUGGGGCAACUGGGAGGGAUAAAAAUCUUUUAUUAAAUCAUUUAUAGUAAUAUUUAUAUUUAUGAUCCAAAUUAGUUAAUUUUGAACUUAGAAU
rnacentral:rRNA from 1 species